rnacentral:rRNA from 1 species
AUGCGUCCCUUUCUCCCAUGUUUAACCACGGAGGCUACCAACGACAGCACCGCCAUGAGUAGGUCUGGGCGUUUCAGACGCGGAGGUUUUCGGCCAGGGAUAGAAGGGCUGCUUCGCAGUCGCAGGGGGCUCAUGACGAGCAAGGUGGCUAUUGUAUCUAUUCUUAUUGAUAUUUUUGUCAAGGAGAAGUCUUCAGAGAAGAUUGGCCUAGAACUGGCGGUAGAAUUAAUUGGAUGUUGUUUCUUUGGCUUGAAUAGGAAGCAAGAAGCAUGCAACGUGGACCAGAGAAGAGAAACAAUGUUCAGGGGGCAUGCCCCCACAGUUCUAAGGGAGGUGUCGCUGUUGCGGAUGCUGUCUAAGAGCCCACAUUUCAUGCUCCUGCUCGAUCUGAAGCAGGGCCGGACCAUCCUCUAUCUCGUUUUCGAGUACAUGGAUGCCAACCUUAAGAAGUUCAUCCACGGCCACCGCAUAACCAUGAGAAGAUCCCCAACCACACAGUCAAGUCAUAAUUAUAUGGAACCAGGAACUUCUGAACUCCAGAACAUUUCUCUACUACACUGGUACCAUAAAAAGAUUAACGACCUGCAGACUUGCUUCAGCAGUUGGUUCUACGAGUUUUGGUCUUAG